UACGGGGGGGGCAAGCGUUGUUCGGAAUUACUGGGCGUAAAGGGCUCGUAGGCGGCCAACUAAGUCAGACGUGAAAUCCCUCGGCUUAACCGGGGAACUGCGUCUGAUACUGGAUGGCUAGAGUUUGGGAGAGGGAUGCGGAAUUCCAGGUGUAGCGGUGAAAUGCGUAGAUAUCUGGAGGAACACCAAUGGCGAAGGCAGCUCGCUGGGACGUUACUGACGCUGAGACGCGAAAGCGUGGGGAGCAAACAGG
rnacentral:rRNA from 1 species